UACAGAGGUCUCAAGCGUUGUUCGGAUUCAUUGGGCGUAAAGGGUGCGUAGGUGGCGCCGUAAGUCGGGUGUGAAAUUUCGAGGCUUAACCUCGAAACUGCAUUCGAUACUGCGGUGCUUGAGGACUGGAGAGGAGACUGGAAUUCAUGGUGUAGCAGUGAAAUGCGUAGAGAUCAUGAGGAAGACCAGUGGCGAAGGCGGGUCUCUGGGCAGUAACUGACGCUGAGGAGCGAAAGCGUGGGGGAGCGAACAGG
rnacentral:rRNA from 1 species